UCCUACGGGACGCAGCAGUGAGGAAUAUUGGUCAAUGGGCGCAAGCCUGAACCAGCCAAGUCGCGUGAGGGAUGACGGUCCUAUGGAUUGUAAACCUCUUUUGUCAGGGAGCAAAGGCGUCCACGUGUGGACGAGAGGAGAGUACCUGAAGAAAAAGCAUCGGCUAACUCCGUGCCAGCAGCCGCGGUAAUACGGAGGAUGCGAGCGUUAUCCGGAUUUAUUGGGUUUAAAGGGUGCGCAGGCGGUCUGUUAAGUCAGCGGUCAAAGCCCGGGGCUCAACCCCGGCCCGCCGUUGAAACUGGCAG
rnacentral:rRNA from 1 species